rnacentral:antisense_RNA from 1 species
AACUAUGGUCGGGCCUUGACGGGGGAGCCUUCGGGCUCGCCGGCUUCCAUUUCGCCGGUAUGCCAACCCUGCCUUGUGUCCGGCCACCCUU